GAAAGAAGAACAUUAUUUCCCCAGCAGACCAAAGGCCCAUGUACACAUAAACAAGGAACAAAAUUUUAUUGCAGCAUUAAUUUACAAACCAAAGGCCCAUAUACACAUAAACAAAACAAAUAGGGGCCACCCAAGCUAACCUAAAAGACUAACCUAAAAGAGCCCAACCAAGGGCCCAAAGCUAGAUACAGAAUAAAAGAAAAUUCUAGAUUCCUUCUACCACCACUGCAAUAGUAUUUCCCAAUCAAUCCGAAUCGAUUUCCCCAGCAGACGCAAAAAAUCCUACCAAGCAGCACCGUAGAGAUUAAAUGGAGGAAAAUCCCAUCAUCCAGCCACGUACACCGAGCCGAUCUCAACUAGAAAGUUGAAAAAAGCUUGUGGAUUUACCAAGAACAACACUGCCAACAAAGGUAGACAAAGAGAAGGAGGUGGUGUUUGUAAACACCUCAGUCGGUGCAACCACCAAAACUCUACGCACCCUCUCGAAUGAACGCAACAAAUUGCGUUGAAAACUAACUGCAGACCAGAAUGAUUGAUCGAGGAAGAUGGAAGCCCGUGAAGUUAGCAUGGGGUAAAGGCAGCAAAAUGAACAAAAAGACGAAACUUAGAGAAAAAGGAAAGAUCUUCCACCAACCCUUGCCACAGCGAGGGCCGACGGCGAUUAAUGCAAAAGGUCAUACAUUUUGUGUAUUUUUAAAACUAAAUUAUAAAUUAAUGCAAGUCGCGCGUGGCACGUAUGAUGGAAAAAAAAGAUUGUAUGUAUCUGCUAAGCAUAACUCAAACAAAACAAUUAGAAUAGGUACUAGCAAAAAUUGCCCACGCGAUGCUGCGGGUUUCAAAUGCAACCGGUUCUUGCAAUCAGUAAAUAUGGUUACGAAGUUGUCAAUAGUACAAAAAAAAAAACAUGUUGACCAGGAUAGUCAAAUUUUAUUAGUUUAUUCCGAAUGACUUCAACUUCUUCAAUAGGUUUGCUUCUAGACUCUUACAUAUCACUCAAUACUUUUGUUAAUUGGCCCUAAACUCUAAGUAAAAAAAUGAGGCAACUCUAAUUAACAAUUGCUAAUCAAACUGCAAAAACAACAUAGUGAGUUUCAACUGUGUUCAAACAUCUGAAUCAAUAGAUUCAAAGGUCUUGAUAUGCAUUAUUAUUCAAACAUCUGAAUCAAUAGAUUCCAGAGUCUUGAUAUGCAAUAUUAACCAAAGGCAUCCAUUACAUUUUAAUAAAAAUUUCCCUAAUGGAUCGCAACGCAGAUACAAUUUGAAAGAUCAAAUUCAAACAUUGAAGCACUCAAGCAAUUUAGAUAAUGCUUGAAAGAUGAAAUUCACACACUAAAACCACUCUGUAACGGAUUCACAUGAGUCACAGUAGGAACUUACCAACCAAAACUUUACCACAGCCAAACACUAGGUCAUUUCCAUUAGUUAAGUAGAUUUUACGUAGCUGCAUUAACAUUGAAAUAAGGGAAAUAAAUCAGUAAUCUUAAUUUUUUUAAGGAACUCAAAAAAAUUUCCCAACUUGCUUGUUUUCCUUGCAUUAAAAAUUAUAAGCACUGAGGGGAAUGGAUAUGCCCCAACAAAUAAUGCGAAAAUCAAUAAUAAAGAUUUUUAUAUAAAUUUUGUGGUUAAUGUGUAUAGCAAGUGCAUUAGAAAAUCAAACCUUGAAUAUAAUACAGCGAACAUGGCUUUGCGAGUAGCCCACUUCAAGCACGAUGGAACUCUGAUGUGACUGUCGCAUCAUGCCACGUAUAGAAAAUACCAAUUGAUAAAGAGUCAAAAUUCAAUAAGUUUAUCUCACAAUUAUUUGAUUUAAACUGAUUCUUUUCAUAUGGUUCAUCACAUAAGGGGUUUCUGAGUAAUCCAAGCAAUUAAGCUACUGGCAGGAUUUGGAGAUAAAUCUUGAAACAGUAUGAAAUUCAAUGACAACAUAAAGGGCUUAAAGGGAAGUAGUGGUACUGGUGAUAUUAGGAUACAAUCAGAAAAGCAUUUAAAUGCUUAGCUUUUAGUUUAACACUUUUCUUCUUUAGAGAAGAGAGGCAGGGGAAAGCAAUAGGAACAGUCUGAUAGGUUCUAAGUUUUAUACAUACAUACAUAUUGAUACACACACACCAAUAUUCAUUGACCAUAAAGUAUUACAUGCAACUCAAAAAUUAAAAAUAAGAGAGAGACUUGGUGGAAAACCCGAACUCCCUUACCCUAAAAACUCAAUGCGCAAUUAGAUCAUCAAGCUUCAUGUCAUAUUUUUUUUUCGUUUAAGAAAACCUUCUUCCAGUUCAAGUAAUACCAAUUUAUGUUUAAAUACAUUAAAUAUUCAGAAUACAUAAUUUGGAAAUAGAAAAAAACAUAAACAUAAUCAUACCUGGAGAGUGAUGGCAAACGUAUUAUAUCAGCCAGAAAAACCUUGCAAAGAACAAAAAUUCCACAAAAUCAGUAUAUUAGCACUUCCUGCAAAACCCCAAAAUCAAAAAUUAGAAAACUCAAAUUUGAUAACAUAAUACAAAUUUGUAUCUGUUAGAGUAGACUCCAUUUAAAUUAGAAUAAUUAGGUUUAGGAUAAAUACCCAAACAGUUCUACUUGAUUUGGUCCUUGCUGCAAAAAUGCAGGCAUGGUGUUAUACACAUUAGACUUUUUCUUGCCGGUCCAGCAACGACCACUAACACAGCAGGCACAAUUAAAAGGUCCACCACUUCUCCAACAAAAAACCUACUUUACACAAAUUUUUUGAAUUAUAAUCAAAAUAAUUAGAUUAAAUGCAAAAUUAAAACUUAUAUCAGAAAAUGCAAUUGAAAUUAACCGAAACCCUAAUUGAAUUGAAGCCCUUGUUAAAAAAAGCUUCACUGAUAUUGAAAUUAAACAAAACCCACCCUGAUUUUGAAACCUCAGACUCAGAGUCUCAUACCUUAAAUUUGAGCAUCGAACCUGAGAGGCAAAGCCAUGAAGAUUGUUAAUAACGGCGUGGUCCGUUUCGCUUGCGUCCGGCAAGAAACAGUUCGCCCGAAUUCCAACACCCAAAAGCCUGGCUGCUUGAUACUUGAAAUCGAGUUUUUGGUUCGAGGGUUUAGAUUAAGUGUGAGUGUGAGAGAUUGUGAAAUUAAAUUUGUUGGUUUGAGGGUAUGAGGGCUUGAGGGGUUUUGCGGUGCCUGUGAGCGAGAGAGAAAGGAAGCGAGGGUUGAUGCAGUGAAAAGGUAAACGGAAUAGAGAGAUGAGGAGAGAGAAGAGAAGACCGCAGAUAGAGAAAUGGAAAUGGAAGGAAAAGUCGGGAAGAAAGUCUGAGCGGAGCCUUUGACGAUGAUCAACGCGUGGCCAAGAAAGAAAGAAGAGGAAGCCGAAGGAAAACAUCGAGAAAAAGAAACAAAAACAAAAGGUUAAACUAUGAGUGACCCGUGGCAAAAAAAGGGCAAAAUCGAAAUUUUGCUGUACCAAGCAAACAACAAAACGUAGGAGUGAGAAGAAACAAAGGGCAUUUCUGUUCUUUCACUGUUCACAAACAGUGAAAAAUAGUGCCAGCCGAACUAAGAAUUAGUAUAUGUAUGAUAUAUGUAUUUAAAAUUUGUAAGUGGUAACUAGUGCACGUGAUUAAAGAAAGACCUUUUAAUUUUCAAAAAUAAAAAAAAAAACAAAAACAAAAGUCAAUAAAAAUAUUAGUUUUCUCUUCAAGUUCAAUACCACUAGCUGAUAUCUUUAAAAGAACAAAACACUAAUUAACUCGAUCCUAAUAUUGAAAAUAUUUUGUGAUCUUAAACAAAUUACGCCCAACUUACAAACCAACACAAGAGUUUUCAAAAUUACUUGGAAAGCCAAAGUGUUGCAACAACAAAGACUAAAACAAGGAAUUCCUUGGCCACAAGGCUCACAAACAGCUCAUGAUGAGAAUACAAACAAUAAGAAGAGCUCAAAUUCUUUAUUUUUCAUUUCUACGUUUUUUUUUUUUUAGCUACUUCAACUUGUAGAUCCUCCUAACUUGAUGGUCUCAACAUCUUGGGCAUACAGCAGGCAUAUCCCACACUUUGUCACCAUUCUCCGAACGGCCCCUUUUUCAAGAAAGCGACUUAUCACAGGGUAGAACUCAAAACAGGCAUCAGUAACAAGUUUGUAAAAAGAAGUGGAGCGAUUUAAAUUUGCUCCCUCCCCAAGUGCAAACGCACUAUACCACACAAAUAUGAAUUCGGGCCGGAAAUAACGCUUCCGCACUCUUUCAGUGAAAGGAACAAAGGAAGGAUAAAUGAUUUCAUGACUUUCGCCACUAUUAGUUUUGAAAUUGCACUUGCAUACAAUCUUCAUGAAACCCAAAGAAAGGUAAAAAGGAAUGGCAUUGUCAGCGACAACAAGAGAGAAAGCAAAACCCAAAAAAUCUGUACCAUACCAAUCUGGAGGAAGCUUGAUAGUUAUCGAAGAUCCCUUAUUUUGAUGGCAGAACCAAUGUGGAAUUUGAUUUCCCACACAUAUAGUGCUAACUAAAGUCUCAUCAGAGAUUUCCUGUAACAUCGAUGCAUGGACAUCAAAUAAAUUAUUCAACACGUGAAAAAAUGGCAUGAGGGAGAUAUGAAAGUGUGCGUGUGUGUGUGUGCGUGCAUGUGUGUGUGAGAGAGAGAGAGACCGUGUUUUGGUGAUCAGCAAAAGGAAAACGCCCUCGAAACAAUUCAUACUUAUCCCAAGCUUGUGUGAGUGAAUUUCUUGAACUUGAAACUGUCACUGGCGCAGUUGCCACUCGCAUAAUUCUCAACCGUGUGUCGGCCAUUAUAUUGGUCCUUGCAUUUUCAUCCAAGUUUUUGCACCUAACAAAAUGAAAACGCCCUCGAAACAAUUCAUAUUUAUCCCAAGCUUGUGUGAGUGAAUUUCUUGAACUGGAAACUGUCUUCAGUGAAGUGCAGCCAGUUGCUUCAAGACAACGUAGCACUGGGAGCUCUGGUAAAAAUUCUAGACUUGUGCACCAUCCCAGAUUCAGACACCUAAGCUUGUCAAGAUCUUUAAAAUAGGAAGGAAUUCGAACCAAUUUUGUACAGCCGUAAAGAUCUAUAUGCUCAAUUUUUGGACUGCGAGAGAGAUCUGGAACUUCAGUCAGAUGCUUGCAAAAACGUAGUUCAAUCACUUUUAAGUUCCCAAGAUUCUGUAACAUAUUAAAGAGAAAUGGAAAGCAGAACAUUAUUGACUUCGGCCAACUAGAUUUCCAGAGGCACCAUAGUUUAUACAAAGAACGAAAGUAAGCACAUACACUUGUAUUAAAAAAAAUUGAAAAACAGAAGAGGAAGCAUACAUAUACCUGGUUUUUACUGCAAAGUUUUUCUCCAGCAAAGCUGCCGGGCAAUCGAAGCUCAACAAGAUUUUUUGGAGAAAAAUUUGUUGGAAGAGAUUUCAACGGGUAUUCCUGCCAGUAAAGAUACCUGAGAGAAUUGGGAAGAGACUGAAGACCUUGAGAAAGGUCCAUAAUGUUGUUGUACCUCUCGCAAUAGCGAGCAUAUAAGUAUUUCCGAAUUUUCGACCAAACUUAAAGUAAUCCUCGUACAAGACUCUUCGACGAGGAUCAUAAAUCAUCAACAAUCUUAAAUUAGACAUCUUCUUGAAGGGUGAUCCACAUAAUUCCAACCGUGUAAUGUUAGACGUGUCAAAGGAUAUGCAUUGAACUGUUGAAGUUCCCUGGAAAUCAAGAGAAAAUAGUAUAAUGAGAAUAAAUGUACAACAAAUAGUUUGGUUGGUAUGGUAUGCCAAUGGUAAUUGCUACUUUGUUUUACGCUACUUAGUUUGCCUAAAAUCUAAUAUUUUUUAAUUAAUGUGGAAGUGUAAAAAAUAUAUAAAAAAUAUAAACGCUCGUAAUGACAAGCUUUACAACUUUCGUGAAGAGCUUAACUUUGAAAUUCGCCAUUAUAAUCAUAUAAAUCAUAGAUCAAAAUUUAACUAUUGAUUGUUGUUUACAUUUACGCUUCAUUUUUCUCAUCAAUUUUUUUUUUUUUUUGGAUUUUCUUUUUUGAAAACGUGAUCUAUUAGAGGAUGCAGGAAGAUGAACGGUUUGGAUCGUUGAUAUUAUGUUCAGAGUUUUACGGUUAGUGAAAAUAUUGAAUAUUGCUUGAUGUUUAUAAAGUUUCUACAAACUAUAUGACAUCGACUCAUAUUUCAGUUAAUCGUAAAUAUCGAAACGUGAUAUCAAAGAUCUGAACCGUUCAUCUUCUUACAUCAGCCAGAUGAUCAUGUUUUCAAAAAAGAAAAUUUUAAAAAUGAAAUUCAGUAAGAAGAAUAAAGCGUAAAUGAUAAUCGACGGUUAAAUAUAAAUUUAAGAUUUAUGGAUUAUAGUGUUGGAUUUUGAAGCUGACCUCUUCAUGAAAGUUGUAAUAGUUGUUAUUAUAAGUGAUUGUGUGUGUGUAUAUAUAUAUUAUUUUUUUAACAUUUUUUACACUUCUAAAAUAAUUAUUAUUAAUUUUUCUCUCAAAUAAUUAUAUGAAUAAAUACAUAAUAUAAUAUUAAUAAUAUUGGUAGGUACGAUAUACCAUCGGUAUUGGUUUUGGAUAACAGUACUGAACCAAAACAGUAUGGUAUGGUACAAAUACCGUACCAUUACCAAUUGGUAUAAAUUUUUGGUAAUAAUUUAGUAUGGUAUGGUUAGUAAGACGGUUGGUACGGUAAUUUGGUAAAAAAUUUCAUCCUACAUAUACUAUAACCCGGUUCUCCGGUACUGUUUUGCACUGUUAAUGAACAACGAAAUAUCGAAAUUGCCCUCGCCUUCUCAUGCUUUACAGUUGUCUUGCCUUCUUUUUCCACAGUAAAAAGAUGUUUAUACCCUUCAACUCACCUGUCCUUCAUCGCUGCGUACUCUGGCUUCACUUCUUUUGGAUUUUUCUUUUGCUUUUCACUCCAUCUGCCCUUCACACAGAUGAGCCGUUUCUCUCUCAUUUCUCUCAUAUUCGAGAGACUUCUCUCUAGGGGUGGAAUUUUUUCCCGAAAAUCCCGAACCGUCCCGAUCCCGUCCCGAAAUUUUCCCGAAAAAAUCCCGAACCGAAUUUCCCGAAACCGAACCCGUCCCGAAAGUUUCGGGUUGGGAUUCGGCCACAGCUUUGAAAGCUUUCGGUAAUCCCGAACCGAACCGAUUAUUAUAUAUAUAUUUAUUUAUUUAUUUUUAAUUUUUAAUUAGAAAUUAAUUGAACCGUUGGAUUUGUUAAAAUCAAAUCCAACCGUCCAUUGAGUUAGGUUAGGUCAUUUGUUAGGUAGGUGUUCUUUCUCUCUCAGACUCACUCUUGCUCUCUCGCUCACAGUCCCUCUCUCACAGACUCACACAGUUAGUCGGAGCGAACCCUCUCGCUGUCUCCUUCCUCUCCAGACGUAGUGUCCUCUCACGCUCGGUCGUGGUCCUCUCCAGACGCUAUCCUCUCGCACUUGCUCUCCCGGCUGAAGUCCAGGUUCGUCUUCGUCUUCUUCUUCGUUUGAAUCCCACCAGUUAUUUGUGAUUGCCUGUAAGGUGUUUGUCUAAUUUCCUGAUCUUUGAUUUGUUUAUUGAGUUUUGUUUUAUUUUCGUGUGGAAUUAUGAUUGCCUGUAAGGUGUUCGAUGAUAUUUCUGAUGCCCUGCUAUUAUUUCUUUUGUUUUGUUAAAUGUGUCAAUGGAGAAUUGUGAUUGCUUGGAAGGUGUUUGAUAAAGUUUCAUAGUGUUUUGUUAUAGGUGUCUAUAGAGAAUUGUGAUUUCCUGCAAGGUGUUUGAUAAAUUUCCUGAGUGUAUUGUUAUCGUUUCGGUUGUUUGGUUUUAUGUGUCCAUGGAGUGUCCACAUUUCCUGCAAGGUGUUUGAUAAAUUUCCUCAGUGUUUUCUUAUCGUUUUGUUCGUUUGGUUUUCUCUGUCCAUGGAGUGUUGUGAUUGCCUGUGAGUUGUUUGAUAAAUUUCCUCAGUGAUAUGUUACUAUUCCAUUUGCUUUGUUCUUAAUUGCCCGCAAGGUAUUUGAUAAGUUUCCACAGUGACUUGUUACUUCAUUUAUUUUGGUUUAUGGGUUCAUGUAAUUCAGGUUGGUUUUGUUUGGAAUUGCAGGGUUUUAGCUAAUGGCAGUUUGUGAUACUUAAUGGCAGUUUGUUUUUAGCUAAUGGCAGUUUGUUUUUAGCUCAGAUUUUCAAGUUUCCACAGUGACUUGUUACUUCAUUUAUUUUGGUUUAUGGGUUCAUGUAAUUCAGGUUGGUUUUGUUUGGAAUUGCAGGGUUUUAGCUAAUGGCAGUUUGUGAUACUUAAUGGCAGUUUGUUUCAAGCUAAUGGCAGUUUGUUUUUAGCUCAGAUCUUCCCGAAAGUGUUUAUAAUAUAAACUAUGUUUUCCUUUUGGAUUGUAACUUAAUCUAAAUUCAUUUGGAGUUUGGUUUGUAAAACCUAACUUAUUUCAUUUUGGUUGCAUGCACUUUUAAUUAACUAGAACAAAAUCGCGCUAAAGCUAGGGCGUCACCCGUAAGUGGCGCGCUGUGUGGCCUGAGCACAGUGAUAAGUGAGCAAGGGUCGUUGUAUCUCCAUCGGCACCCGGAUGCAGUGUUAAAUGAGCAAGGGGGCUAUAGAAACUUCUUUUCGAACGACUCCACUCAAAGUUGUUUGGGAGCAUAUGCUCCUAUCAACUUUACACGGGACACACAAAAGAAGUACUUUGAUCCUAUUAGACGGGGAAGGGUGAAGAAGCUAGGACAGAAGGGUAGAGUUCAAGAGAGCAAAAUGCGUUUAGGAACGUGGAAUAUAGGAACCUUGACUGGAAAAUCUAUGGAAGUAGUAGAAGUUAUGGUGAGGAGAAGGAUAAAUAUUAUGUGCCUACAAGAAACUAAGUGGGUUGGUCGUAAGGCAAAGGAUCUAGAAAACUCAGGGUUUAAACUAUGGUAUUCGGGCACAAAUAGAACGAGAAACGGUGUUGGCAUCAUCGUGGACAAGACCCUGACACAAGAUGUUGUAGAUGUCAAUAGGGUAGGAGAUAGAAUCAUGGCAAUCAAGAUUGUAAUAGGACAAGAACUUAUCAAUGUGAUUAGUGCGUACGCACCUCAAGUAGGGUUGGAUACGAGUUCGAAGGAGAAAUUUUUGGGAAGACCUUGGAGACUUGGUGCAAGGAAUUGCUCAGACGGAGAAGUUAUUUUAUAGGAAGAGAUUUAAAUGGACACGUGGGCAGGGAGACAGGCAACUAUGGAGGUUUUCAUGGUGGCCAUGGUUUUGGGGAGAGAAACGAGGAUGGGGAAGCUAUCUUGGAUUUUGCAAUGGCAUAUGAUCUCUUCUUAGCCAACACCUUCUUUAAGAAAAGAGAAGAACAUGUGAUCACCUACAAGAGUGGGUCGUCAAAAACACAAAUAGAUUUUCUUCUAAUGAGGAAAGGGGAUCGUAUAACUUGUAAGGAUUGCAAAGUUAUACCAGGAGAGAGCGUGGCUAAUCAACAUCGCUUGUUGGUGAUGGAUGUACAUAUCAAAAGAGUGAGAAAAAAGAACAAGACUUGGAAGUGCCCAAGGACUAGAUGGUGGAAUCUAAAAGAAGAAAAACAAGCCAUUUUCAAAGAGAAAGUAAUCACCCGGUGUGUGUGGGAUAGAGAGGGGGAAGCUAACCAAAUGUGGGAUUCCAUGGCUAGUUGUAUCCGAAAAGUAGCAAAAGAGGUAUUAGGAGAGUCCAAGGGCUUUGCCCCACACCAAAAGGAAUCUUGGUGGUGGAAUGAGGAGGUACAAGCAAAGGUGAAGGGUAAGAAGGAAUGUUGUAAAGCCUUAUACAAGGAUAGGACCGAUGAAAAUGGUGAAAGGUAUGGAAAAGCGAAGCAAGAGGCGAAGAAAGCUGUGAGAGAAGCUAAGUUAGCGGCUUAUGACGAUAUGUAUAAGCGACUAGAUACCAAAGAAGGAGAGUUGGAUAUCUAUAAACUAGCUAGAGCAAGGGAAAAGAAGACAAGGGACCUAAACCAAGUGAGGUGCAUCAAGGAUGAGGAUGGAAAGGUUCUUGCUACAGAGAACGCGGUUAAAGACAGAUGGAAAGGUUAUUUUCAUAAUCUUUUUCAAUGAAGGACAUGAAAGGAGUGCUUCUUUAGGGGAGUUGAGUAACUCAGAAGAGUGUAGAAACUACUCUUUUUUAUCGUAGAAUCCGGAAGGAAGAAGUGGGUGUAGCUUUGAAGAAGAUGAAGCAUAGAAAAGCAGUAGGCCCAGACGAUAUACCAAUCGAAGUGUGGAAAGUUUUGGGAGAGACAGGUAUACACAUGGCUCACUGACCUUUUCAAUAGGAUUUUGAAAACGAAGAAGAUGCCGAAUGAGUGGCGAAUGAGCACUUUGGUGCCUAUCUACAAGAAUAAGGGCGAUGUACAAAAUUGCAUGAACUAUAGGGGUAUUAAGCUAAUGAGUCAUACAAUGAAGCUCUGGGAGAGAGUCAUUGAGCAUAGAUUGAGGCAAGAGACACGGGUUUCGGACAACCAAUUCGGGUUCAUGCCAGGGCGCUCAACCAUGGAGGCAAUCUAUCUCUGACGAAGAUUGAUGGAAAGAUAUAGAGAUGGGAAAAAGGAUUUACACAUGGUCUUUAUAGAUUUGGAAAAAGCGUAUGAUAGGGUCCCAAGAGACAUUCUUUGGAGGAUUUUAGAGAAGAAAGGAGCACGAGUAGCAUAUAUCCAAGCUAUACAGGAUAUGUAUGAAUGAGCAAAGACUGCCGUAAGAACUCAUGACGGACAAACCGAAAGCUUUCCCAUAACUGUAGGUUUACAUCAAGGCUCAUCCUUAAGUCCUUACCUUUUUGCGUUGGUAAUGGAUGAGUUAACAGGACAUAUUCAAGGUGAUAUUCCUUGGUGUAUGCUUUUCGCAGACGAUAUAGUGUUGAUAGAUGAAACUCAGGAAGGGGUAAAUGCAAAGCUUAACCUUUGGAGAGAAGUGUUGGAAUCUAAAGGUCUUCGCCUAAGCCGAUCAAAGACAGAAUAUAUGGAGUGCAAGUUCAGUGCAAAUGGAGGCCAAAACGAGUUAGGGGUGAGGAUCGGAGAUCAAGAAAUACCAAAGAGCGACCGUUUUCGUUACCUAGGAUUUAUCUUGCAAAAGAACGGAGAAUUAGAUGGAGAUCUCAACCAUAGAAUACAAGCUGGAUGGAUGAAGUGGAAGAGUGCAUCCGGCGUGUUGUGUGACCGCCGUAUGCCACUGAAGCUCAAGGGAAAAUUUUAUAGGACGGCAAUAAGGCCGGCGAUGCUGUAUGGCACAGAAUGUUGGGCGGUGAAGCAUCAACACGUACACAAAAUGGGUGUGUAGCGGAGAUGAGGAUGCUUCGUUGGAUGUGUGGGCACACGAGAAAGGAUAAGAUUAGGAAUGAGGAUAUCUGGGGUAAAGUAGGAGUAGCCGAAAUUGAAGGAAAGAUGAGAGAAAAUCGGUUACGGUGGUUUGGACAUGUGCAAAGAAGGCCCACUGACGCUCCGAUUAGAAGAUGCGACUAUGGGACAGAGGUUCAGGGCCGAAGAGGCAGAGGAAGACCUAGGAAAACUUUGGAAGAGACCCUAAGAAAAGACUUAGAGUACUUGGAUCUAACGGAGGACAUGACACAGGACAGAACACAAUGGCGUUCUAAGAUUCAUAUAGCAGAUCCCACUCAGUGACUUGGAUUUUCCAAGUCUCCAACCGAGAAGUUUUCCUCACUCGGGAAAUUAAGGGAACACUACCUCAACCUAUAUGCUCCACUCACAAAGCUUCAACAUACAAGCUUCAACAAAAGAAAAUUCAAAGAACUUAGCGAAGAAGGCUUUGGUGUAUUUAACACAAUACGUUGAAAUGAAGGAAAGCUUAUUUAUUGAUAUCCCCGAUAAGUUACAAAUAUGUACAUAUACUUGAGUCAAAAUAAACAAACAAGAGGGAGCCUUCACAAAGGUUGCUUAGGGGAAGUCUCAGCAGUCGGUAGAGCCCCAGAAAGAGAAGGCACCGGAGGGGGAUCAUUCGGAGCCUUAGUACUGGACAAAACCCUAGAAGGAUGAGGCAUCAGAGGUUGAUCAUUUGGAGCUUCAUUACGCGAUACAGCCCCAGAAGACGAAGGCAAUAAAUGCCUUUGGAACAAACCCACAAAUCUUUGAUGAUCAAGUAAAACCUGACCAUCAGAUUCCUUCAUCUGGUCAAGCUUCCUCUUCAUGUUUGUAGCAUAGUCAUGUGCGAGCCGGUGCAACUGUUUAUUCUCAUGCUUGAGCCCUCUAAUCUCCUGUUUGAGACUCAUCACUUCAGCCGCCAAUGAUUCAACUUGGCGGGUUUGAGCAAAUAGGCGUUGGGCCAUAUUAGACACAGAACCUGCACACUGAACACUGAGAGCCAGAGAAUCCUUAACAGCCAACUCAUCAGACCGUUUGGAAAGUAGUCUGUUAUCUUUGGGAGUGAGAAGGUUCCUGGCCACUACCGCAGCGGUCAUAUCAUUCUUCAUCAUGGAAUCCCCAACGGUAAGAGGACCAGUAGGGGAGACGAAGGAUGGGCGCCAUAUGUUGUCUUGAGAAGGCGGGGCUGCCUCUUCAACAAGGUUCAAGUCAAAACGACGGUCGGAGGGGCCAGACAUUUUCAAAGGUGUUGAAGAGAGAAGAGGUCGGACAAAAUCAAGAUCUUAGAAGUGCAAGAAUGGAGCUUCUAUUGGUGGAUAUUCAAGUGUGCUUUGGAACUUAAUGUCAGCCCCUAUAAAAAUCUGCACUCGACGAAGAUUCAGAAAUCGAAGAGGCGCCUGCUCAGAAAUCGAAGAGGCGUUUGCUUUCUCAAAAGCUGGGCUGCUCAGAGACCACGAGGGUCGAUCUCAGAAAUCGAAGAGGCGUUUGCUUUCUCAAAAGCUGGGCUGCUCAAAGACCACGAAGGCCGAUCUCAGAAAUCGAAGAGGCUUGCUUUCUCAAAAGCUGGGCUGCUCAGAGACCACGAGGGCCGAUCUCAGAAAUCGAAGAGGCACCUACUUUUCCAGCCUUGUCAGCACCUGUCACACGCACACUCAGCUUUGCGGAAAUUAUGGGCAUUCUGUCGAAGAUUUCUGGCGAAGUAGAAAGCACAUGAAUCGUACUGUUCAAUCACCCACUUCCCACACGCAACAGUAGCUCAUGGGUACCACAGAUAACUUUGCCAAAGUUCUCUGACAAAGUUGAGACACGUGAAGCUUGCAGCUCCCACUACAUCGCUCUGACCAAGAAGGGUAAAAGAAUUGCAAAGAAACAACACUAACAAAGUUUAGACACAUAAAUUUUGAAGGUCUAGCUACCAUAUUAUUACCCACAAGGGUAAAGGAACAGUACCACUGCUGGAUAAUUGGAAAGUCCCGGUGUGUCAACCUCUGUGCUUCGUGGCAAGGUAGACUAGCAAACAUGCCCAACCUUUACUCACAUUCGAGAAAACACUCCCAACAAGAUUGCUUGCUCCAAAAUCAAAGAGGCACCGCCCUCCGAAUCUCGAGAGCCAGACUGCCAACAUGAUUACUUUCUCAAAAAUCGAAGAGACACCGCUAUCCGAAUCUCGAGAGCCAGACCCCCAGCAGGAUUGCUUUCUCAAAAAUCGAAGAGGCAUCGUUCUCCGAAUCUCGAGAGCCAGAUCCCCGACAGGAUUGCUUGUUCGAAAACCGAAAAGGCACCACUUUCCCAACUUCAAGAGCUGGAUCUCCUUGGAUAAAGCUUGUCUGUAAUCUUCACACAUAACAUCAGCUUUCCAGAUACCACAGACCACUUUUUCAAAGUGCUCUGACAGAGUUAAAACAUGUGAUAAGCUGGCAGCUCCCACUACCGUGCUAUAACCAAGCAGGGUAAAGGAAUAGCAUUAUUACUUGAUGUUAGGGAGACUCCUAUAUAUGUCGACCUCCAUCCCUAACGGAUAGGCAGACCUGCAAAAAUGCUCAACCCUUUCUCUUAUCUGAGAGGGCACUCCCAACGAAGCCUUUCGAAAUAUUCAGCUUUCUUUCCCCCCGAUAAUACCUCUAUAAACAAGCUAUACUAGAGCAAGAAUAUCUCAUAUCAUCAGGGUUAAAAGCAAGAGUAUCCCAUAUCAUUCUUUUUCCCUGUCUUUUCCUUUGGCCUUGUUCUUACCUGCAAGACAAGGAGAAAGAGAGCAAUCAGUCAGCACUUGGAAUCAAGCUUCCAGCCAGGAACUGACUGCCGGGAACCUCUUACCUGAUUACUUACCUGGCAUUGGUCUCGAGUACUCAUCUUCAACAUCUUAUGCUUCCAGGGAAGAUACCGCAUCUGCCUGAGGAACAGAUAGGGCAAGUGAGAAGGAUACAAGGAAGCAUGUGGAGACAAGCGUAACAGCACACGUGCCGAUACAUCCACUACUCUGUCAAAAGCAAAAGUAUCCCAUAUCAGCAGGGUCGAACGUACUCUAGAUUUGAUGGACUUGUUUUGACCCUCAAAUUCUUCAGUCGGCCUUAUACUCUGGAGGAAACCAGAAAACCCUCCAGCCCAGUUCAAGAAUAAGCCUGUGGAAAGUUACUUCUUCAAAAGCAAAAGUAUCCCAUAUCAUCUCUCCUCAUUUUUCUUCUCUUUAUCCUUCAUGCUGCCUGCAAGAUAGGGAGAAUGUGAACAAUCAGUCGGAGCUCUGAUUGCUUACCUUGUCUUUCACCUCUUUCAGCAGAUCCCCUAGCUCGGCGACUUGGGGGACUCCUACUACAUGGUUUGUAUCGCGCUUGACCAAGCAUGAAACUACAAGUAAGCUUCAAGUGAAAUUGAUACAUUACCUUGUGCAUCUCCACCAGUUACAGAUACCACCCCUGGAUGGAGGAAGAGUACUUCCAGAGAAGAUGCCACAUCUACCUAUGAGACAGAUAAGGCAAGUCAAGACGAUACCACACUCCGGUACUUAGAAGUUUCGUGGCUACGAGAUCAUUCUCCCACAAUAUUUCCUAAUGUCAUUUGUACUAAAUCAUUUACUUGUACUCACUAAAGGAGAGCUUGAACCUAUGUACUUGUGUAAACCUUUCACAAUUAAUGAGAACUCCUCUAUUCCGUGGACGUAGCCAAUCUGGGUGAACCACGUACAUCUUGUGUUUGCUUUCCUAUCUCUAUCCAUUUAUAUACUUAUCCACACUAAUGACCGGAGCAAUCUAGCGAAGAUCACAAAAAGUGACCGUUUUCGCUACCUAGGAUCUAUCUUGCAAGAGACGGAGAAUUAGAUGGAGAUCUCAACCAUAGAAUACAAGCUGGAUGGAUGAAGUGUAAGAGUGCAUCCGGCGUGUUGUGUGACCGUCGUAGGCCACUGAAGCUCAAGGGAAAAUUUUAUAGGACGGCAAUAAGGCCAGCGAUGUUGUAUGACACAGAAUGUUGGGCGGUGAACCAUCAACGUACACAAAAUGGGUGUAACGAAGAUGAGGAUGCUUCGUGGGAUGUAUGGGCACACGAGAAAGGAUAAGAUUGGGAAUGAGGAUAUCCGAGGUAAAGUAGGAGUAGCCAAAAUUGAAGGAAAUAUGAGAGAAAAUCGGUUUCGGUGGUUUGGACAUGUGCAAAGAAGGCCUACUGACGCUCCGGUUCGAAAAUGUGACUACGGGACAGAGGUUCAGGGCCGAAGGGGUAGAGGAAGUCCUAGGAAAACUUUGGAAGAGACCCUAAGAAAAGACUUGAGUACUUGGAUCUAACGGAGGACAUGACACAAAACCGAGCCCAAUGGCGUUCUAGGAUUCAUAUAAAAGCCGACCCCACUUAGUGGGAAAAGGCUUUGUUGUUGUUGUUGUUGUUGUUGUUGUUGGUAGACAAUUUGGAAGUUUGGUUUGUAAAACUUAACUUAUUUCAUUUUUGUUGUAUGCACUUUUAAUUAAAUAGUUUGGUAGAUAGACUUGUUAGUUGCUUCCUUUAUAUGAAAAUUGAAACAUGUGGUAUUGUGAUAUUUGUGGUGAAAUUGAAACAGGUGGGCUGGGCAGUGACUGUAACCUUAAUUUUUUUUUUUUGGGCAGUGGCUGGCUGCAAUCUUAAAAGCCCAACAUUUUGGGCUUCAAGGCCCAAUCCCGAAGUAUCCCGAAAAUCCCGAAACACUUUCGGGAAUCCCGAAUUUCGGGAAAUGCACAUUUUCGAUUCGGUUUCGGGAUAUAAAAUCUCAUCCCGAAAUGUUUUGGUUUGGGAUUUGGGAAAGGAGUUUCGGUUCGGGAUCCCGACCCGAACCACCCCUACUUCUCUCUCUCUAGCCUCAGUGCCGCUCACCCCCAUUCCUCUUCAUCAUCUCUCAGUUAUUUCAUCUUCUCUUAAAAAAAACUCAAGCCACUCAAUUUCUCUAAACCCUAGCCGUCACUCAUCCAAUUUCUCUCAACCAUGGCCUCCAUUUUAGGCCUCGAGUUUACAAAAUCUGGAGAGCUUUCUUUCUCGCCUGCAAACGAAGGUGGCCGAGUAUGAGAGCCCGUGGUGGACCGCCGCCAAAAAACCCGACGAAUCCGCACUGAGUCAGCUUAUAGCAGCCGAGAACGACUCGGGCGAUGUCGACCGCCACCGCCACCGGCUCAUCGGCUCCACACAUUCUCUGGUAUUCAAGUUCUUUUUACUUUUCUGGGUUUUUCUUUUAAGAGAUUUUGUAUUUUUUUUUUCUGAUGAGAAUGCAGGUUUUGGAUUUAGCCUUUAAUUUUCUCAGAUGGGAUUUUGAAUUUAUUUUGUGGAAAUUCGAUUUGAAGUUGUAUAUUUUUUUGGGUCAAUUUUGAAUUACAAUUUGAAGUUAGAUUUUUUCUAGGUUAAUGUGAAUAUGGACGAUGAGCCUAGACUGCAUUAGUUGCUUUACUCAAUGGAACAUACAAUUAGUGGAGAGUAAUUCAUAUGAUAAUUUUAUAUAUCUGGAUAAUUGAUGUUUCCUUGUUUUAGUUGUAGUUUUGGUUUAAUUUGUAAUUUGUAUGGUGCUUAAGAAUCCAUAGCUUCUAAGGUUUGAUUAUUUUCUAUUUUUAACUUAUCCUUGGGUAAGCAAAUUUGAUGAAAUUAUUUUUUUGCUUCGCUUUUCGAUAUUUUCAGACCUAGUUUGGGAGUGAGGUGCUUAAAAAAAAAACACCCAUGAAAAAAAGCUGUGAGGGUUUUAGGUGUUUGGUAAACUGAAAAAAAAGGGCUUUUUUUGGAAGCUGCUGUGAGAAUAAGCUGAAAUCAAAGGAAAAAGAUGAAGCUGCUAUUUGCAGCUUUGGAAAACUGGCUUUUUUUCAAAGCACACGGAGCUACAGUGCUUCUUUAAUGAAAAAACCCACUAUUAGACUGUUUUUUUUUUCAAAAGCACUUUUACAAAAAAGUUUACCAAACACUAUGCUGAUUUAUUUCACAGCCGCUUAUUCUCACAACAGUUUUUUUUCAAAGCACAGCAAUACCAAACCAGCUCUCAGGCAAUUGAAGUUGAAUAUGGAGAAGGUUUUUGCACAUUUAGACAUGUUGGACUCUCAAGUUUGAUGUGGUAAUUAAUUUAAUGAGUUAUGUGUAUAUUAGUUGAAGAGGUCGCACUUGGUGCGAUGGCAAGUGCCUUCGUCCAUGAGCGGUAGGUCUCGGGUUCGAGACUUGGGAGCCCCCUCUCCAUAAAUGGGGGUAAGGCUAGCCGACAUUCACCUCUCCCAGACCCUGCGUAAAGCGGGAGCCUUGUGCACUGGGUAAGACCUUUUUAUGUGUAUAUUAGUUAAAUUGUGUUUUGUGUUCUGUCAAAUUUGAUGUACUAAUUAUACUUUCUGCUGCUAUAAUUUACUACUAUUAAUUUUUACUUCAAGUAUGAUUUUUUGAACGACAAACUGCAAGAAGGUUUUCUUAAACGAAAAACAAUAUGACGUGAAACCUGAUGAUCUAAUUGCGCAUUGAGUUUUUUUUGGUGAGGAAUUUCGAGUUUUCCGCCAAUUUGGAAGCUUGAUAGUUUUCGAAGAUCCUUUAUUUUGAUGGCUGAACCAAUUUGGAAUUUCAUUUCCUGCACAUACAGUGCUAACUAAAGUCCGAGCUGAGACGGUGCUACCUAAAGUCCGACAAGAGGUAGGGAUAGAUGAAGUCAUUUCCUGUAACAUCGAUGCAUGGAAAUCAAAUAAAUUAUUCAAUACGUGAAAAAAUUGCAUAAAAGAGAUAUGAAAGUGUGCUAGUGCGUGCGUGGGUGAGAAAGACAGAGAGAGAGACCAUGACAAUUUCUUCUUCUUUAUGUUGCUGAGUUUUCAAUGGCCCAGUUUCCACUCGCAUAAUUCUUAACUGUAUGUCAGCCAUUAUAUUAGUCCUUGCAUUUUCAUCCAAGUUUCCGCAAUUAACAAAGUUAAAACACCCUUGAAACAAUUCAUAUUUAUCCCAAAGCUUGUGUGAGUGAAUUUCUUGAACUUGAAACUGUCUUCAGUGAAGUGCAGCCCCUUGCUUCAAGACAACAUAGCACUGGGAGCUCUGGUAAGAUUUUUAUUUUCCCUUUCGCCGACACACCUUCAGUUUGGAUAAACAGCACUGUGAAGGCAACCGGUGAUACCUUCAUUUUGGAUAAACAACACUAUAGCCGUAGAACUAGUCGAUCGCGGAACAUCUUCAGUUUGGAUAAACAGCACUGCGAAGAGGCCGAUUGGUUAUCUAUCCAAGUCUCGGUCGAGAAGGAUUUUCGAAUCCUUAUUGGCAGAUGUCAUCUCAUUAGCCUUCUCGGCGAAGUGAGGUGUUACCAGGUUACUACAUUCGGCGCAUUAACCACCGAAUUUGAUAUUGAACUUCGCAGAACUAGCAGUCUUGUCUUCAAGCUUUAGAACCUAAAGGCCGAGGUGUGUUCCUUCCUCGGCUGCAAUCGCAAGAUCAAGAAGCUAGCAGCGCGACCAACGCAACAUCAACAAAUUUUACUCACCGGUCGAGCUCGGCCGUCAAGUUGGCACGCCCCACAUAUCACCGAAGAACGUAGUUAGCUCAUAGAUUACUCGGCCUGCGCGCCACGUAGGCUUGGUAGUUUUUAGGGUCAACAACCACACAAACAUGAAUUCGAACGGCAAAUAAGAAAGCUUCCCCUCUUUCAGUAAAAGGAAUAAAGGAUAAAUGAUUUCAUGACUUUCGCCACAAUUAGUUUUGAAAUUGCACUUGCAUACAAUCUUCAUGAAACCCAAAGAAAGGAAAAAAGGUAGGGCAUUGUCAGCGACAACAAGAGAGAAAGCAAAACCCAAAAAAUCUGGACCAUACCAAUCUGGAGGAAGCUUGAUAGUUAUCGAAGAUCCCUUAUUUUGAUGGCAGAAUCAAUGUGGAAUUUGAUUUCCAACACAUAUAGUGCUAACUAAAGUCUCAUCAGAGAUUUCCUGUAACAUCGAUGCAUGGAUGCACAUGAUAUGCACAUUGCAUACUGAAAACAUGCACAUGGCAAGACAAACACCGAUUCACUAAGUACUAAAACUACGAUAACAUUUAGGCGAAUAAACCGCACAAUGUACGAAACUUAAAACAAAUCGAAUUGCAAAAUUUAACAAAAGUGACACUAGAUAGUAAAAGUGAAAAGAGUAAUUAAUACUGAAGAUUUACUCGAGAAUUGGAAAAAAUAUGGCAAAAUCAAACGAAUUGGUAGAACUUCAUGUCGUCUAACAUGACUAGAUUAGUAAAAUAAUAUAGAUUCAAUAGUACCAAAUUGAAAACAAAAGUAGCAUCCUGAAUAAGAUUUCUCCCAAAAUUCUGAAAACUAGCAUUGUAUAAACACACAUAGCAGAAUAAACUACAACAGCUGCAAGGUUUACUCGUCCUCCUGGCAAGUUUGUUGGUAACAACAUCCAACUGGGCUGCAAGCUCGUCGAUCUCCUUCCUCUUCCUAGUGGAAAUGUUGUGUGCAAUCUCAGCACAGCAAGUCCUGCAGUUACAUUAGAGAAACAAAGGGUUAGCAAAUUCUAUUAAGCUAAUAAAUCCUCUAAACUUCUAGUUUAACCUAAACUUGCCUAGUUCAUCAAACAGCUUGCAUUUCUAAACAACCAAUUAUAGCAUCAGCCAAUCACUAAAAUCAAUAUUCAAUGAUCAUCUUAUUCAUUUCAUAGACUACAACAACCCUAGUUCACUGCAUUACUGCUUAAACACACAACUAAAGCAAUAAUAAUUCCCUAAAACAAUCCAUAUACAAUACAUUGAAAUCAAAUAUACUUGCUUUCUUAAUUGAAGCUGUUCAUUCUUAAUUAUCUGCAAAAAGACCACAACCAACACACAUUGAACAAAUCACCAAGAAAUUUGGAGAGAGAGCGAGACCUUCUCGGUGUAAGUAAUGACGGAAGUCUCGCGAUUAUUUUCCUCUUAAAAAACUUGACUAUUUUGCGCCUUUGAUUUCAUAACUGCCCCUUCCUCCCUUCCUUCUUUUGUUCACAUAUGUGGAUCAAAGUUCAACCACCUCUUUGAUAAAAUAAUGGAUCUGAAAAAUCUGCAAAAUUUAGUAACUGAAUUCUGAGGUGUUUCUCUUUGGGUGGACACUCGAUGUGGUUGGUGGCUUUGACCAUCGCAACAUCCAAAUCCUAUUCUUAGAAAACAAACCCAAAUCCAAAAAUCAAAAUCCAACGUUAAAUUAGGUAUUCAACACAACAGCAAGCAGACCACUGACUUGGUUCUAACAAAGGGCGAACAGAGAAGAAGCAUGUCACAUAUAAUCAGACCACUAGUCAAAAUUUUGUUCAUGUUUGAAUAGUUGUGCAAAAAAUCAAACUAAUGGAAAUCACCAAAAUAAGAAUCCAAUUGUGUUUAGACUCAUAUUACCAAACAUCGUCACAAAUCCACAAUGUCAUGAGCAGGGCAUGGAGGUUUCGACUCACCUAUUGAUAUUCCUAUCUAAAGACCAGUAACAUAGAUCAUGUACAACAGUGAACACUUAAAGACAUAUAUGGAAUAUGGACUUCAAAACAAAAGUUGGACAUUCUAGAAUGAGUAAAUAGAUAAUGUCUAAUUCUGCCCUAUCAAUAUUUGAUAUGAUGUGUUGGUGGGCCUUGUCGCCUCACAGACCAGACAGGAAUAUGUAGCUUGAUAGGAAAUUUUUAUUUGUAUUAGUAUACAUUCUAAUGACAAAAAAUUUCCACAAGUUCUGCAGUACAUAUAAGUAUUUCAAGCAUUAUAUUGUUUGAGGAUCUUUGUCCCCAUAUUAAAGUAACAAACUUGUUGCUCAAACACCUACAUUGCGGAUGCUGUUGCAACUACACUUGUAAUUCCACUUUGCAAUAUUAUAAAUAUAAAAAUAACAUCUCAAUUUCAAAUCUCUAAGAAUGCAGCAUGUCUAUCAGAUGUGAAAGGGUAUCUCUUACUUGGACUUUCCCAUUGCUAGUUCCAACUGCAAGAUGAGUUCCACGUUAACCCCAGCCAACGGAACAAACACUAUCAUCAAUCCCCAAUUCACAUAACUUAGUUAACUGCAAGUAACAUUCAAUCAUAAAGUGAAAAAAAUAUUACAUCGGCAAAGACUCAAAGUGAUCAAUUCCAUGCAUACACCAAUAAAAAAACACACACACAUGAUCGAAAAACAGUUAUAGUCAUUAAAAGGUUGUGUUUGCACUUAAAAUAUACCUAUUUUUACUUAUUUGGGCCAUUUGGGGAAAAUUUGGCAUUUGGAUGAUUAAUGUGCAAAAAGCUAAUUUGGAAAGAUAUUUGACUACAAGUUGAAGGGUUUGGCACUAUAAUAUUGUUUCUCCCAUUUGUUUGGGUGGUGGAGGUUUGCCAAGCGAAUUGUUUAAUCAAGACAAGUGCAUGCUUUUUCAUGCAAGUGGAUGGAAAGACACCAUGCAUGCUUUCGGGCAAGAAUGUGUGAUGAAAGAAGCCAACUAGCCAACUUGCUUCUUUUAAAUGUUAGUUUAUUACAAGUGGGAAAACAUGUGAUGAAAGCAUGUGGUGGUAAUGCAAAGUUCCCCUUUUAAUAUUAUUUCUCCAUGCAAGUUGGCAAGUGAAAAGCAAGCUGCCCAAGCAAUGGAAUACAAACUGCCCAAGUUUCUUUUGGACAGCUGCAAUGUCCUUAGCAAGGGGGUUUCCUCCAGACCUCUAUAUAAAGGAGUACAAACACAAGGAUUAUGGACACUCAAACAACCAAACAAAUACACAAACUCUGCUCAAAUUAGCUCAUCAGCUUCCUUGUAGACAUUUAAUUUUAGCCAAGCAUCCUUUGCUUUUCUUGUUUAUUAGCUCUGCUGCUCACUUGCAGUAUCGAUCUUAUUUGUAGUUCAUGUACAACUCCUUUUCAGUCAUUUAAAUUACAAGCAAUCUGCAAUAUUAGUCACUUUCCUCUGUCAUUUAAUUUCCGAGCAACCUUGUCAUUUACAUAUUGUUCUAUCUCUCCAUAUAAGUAAAGUCUUUAUUUUUAAGGCAAAGAAAGAACCUUGAUUUGAGCAACUCCCACUCAAAUGGCACAAUCUCUUGAUUUGAAGUCAAAAGGCGCAACCUCAAUCAUUCAAAUCCCGUCUACUAGCGGCAUCUAGUAGUGGCAUGCCCGCACCCACCAAUCUCGUAUGUGAAGUAAAUCCCCGGCUUGCCCGCGAGGCCCAUGGUGGAUUUAGGGAGCAAACAUAUUUUGGCACGCCCGGUGGGAUCCUUAUAUGGAGUUAGAUCAUGAACAAUCCUUAUGUUUAUGAUUUUUCUCGACAUGUUUUCAAGCCCUACAUUCCGGAGUGGGAAGAAGAUGAUGGUGUUGAAGAAUGCCCGAGCCAUGGCUAUGGUGAAAAUCAUAUAGAGCCAACCUAUGAGUUGCCAACUUAUGGGUACAUGGCUAAGGAAAACUCAAGUCCCGUGGAGCAUGAUUGUCGGCCAACUAAUGGCCAUCCCGACACUGCACCAAACGCUUCACUAAGUCAGUCCAGCUUAGUCUAGUCUAAGCCAGUCCAGCUUAAUCCCUGAAGAUAGUCCAGUCCAAGAUAAUCCGGUGCAACAAACGCACUCUAAGGGGAUACUAUAGCCGACUGCGAAAAACAUUGUUCCAACGUACAGUGAAGUGGCGAAAUUAUCCUUUUUACUGUGCAAUUUUCUUCUUCUUUUCCUCACUUGCAUAGUGAAUUGACCAGUUUGCCCAUCUUUGAUACGUGUUGCCCAGUGAAUACGUGGCUCACUCUCCUUAUUCCUUCUCCGCCUCUUUCUUACUGCACUGCUUCCGCUGCAGUCUGCGCCGCUUCCUUUUUACUUCACUUUACUUUUGUCUAAAGUAGGAGGGAUGACGGUACUGUGCAAUUUUGGCUCAAUUUUACUUUAUUUACGAGUUUGCCACCGGACUGAUUUCAGCCCAAAUUUCGCUUCAUUUACAAGAUUGCCACUUGGGCUUAAGAACGGGUCUUCACUCUUUGGGCUGGAUCUGGGCUUCGACUCGGGGAGAGAGAGAGAGAAGGGCGACAGAAGGGUGAGAGGGAGACGUUUGCCGGGAUUUCGAGGAGAGACGUGCGGGUGGGUUUCGGGAAUGGGAGGCCAUGCCGCUCUGUCUGCCGCUACUUUUGAUCCACGCCUGUGUGAGCCAUUGCUUCAGCCAAAACAGGUGCUCUCUCCAUUUUUCAUCUCUUCCAUACUCAAACCCUAGCCGCUCCACCUCUGUCUCCCACACACAAGCAAACUCCAUCUGAAAACCGAAGAAUCCAAAGGGAAAUCCCUUCGAACUCUUCGAUUAUGAACAUCUUAAAGCCGAAGAAUCCAAGGGUGCUCUCUCCAUUAAUUUCAAUCGUCCUUUUUUUUCCCUUAUUUCUUCUUCAUCUGCUCGCUUUUGUUGCUGCUUCUUCUUCUUCUUCUUCCCCCUUUUGGUUCCUCCCUUUCUUGCUUUAUUUCUUCUGAUAUUUUCUCUCUCUCUCUUGCUCUCUUCAAAAUCCCACAACAGUCUUUGGAGUUUGAGGCUUUUGCUCUGUUGGGUUUUUUUUUUUCCAAUAACUCAAAGGGCCGAAAGGUAUUCCCUUUUCAUAUUCUUCUCUCCCAAUUUCUUUAGGGUUAAUUUCAAUUUUCUUAUGCUAUUUGCAGUGGUGCUUUUUAGGGUUUAACUAUUUGAUUUCACAGAUUCAUUACAAACACAGUAAAUAGUUACAUUUAAAAUUUGUAUUUCAUAACUUGGUUGCUUGAUUCUAAUGUCGAUUCGUUACAACAGAAGUGAACUUUUCUUUCAAUAAUUAAUUCUGAUGUAACUCUGUUUUUGUUCUCUCAUGUCUAGGGUGGUCAAGGACAUGGGGGGAAGAGCACUUUGGAAAUGGGUACGAAAGGAAAUAAACUUGCUGAACUGCGUUGGCAUCUAUUGUUCUGGUUUUUCUUUGACAAGUUAACUUGCUCUCUCUUUGCAGUAAGGUGCACAAAUAUGGGAAAAGCACGACAUGGGAAAGCUGGGAUAUUGUUGUGGAUGAGGAGACCUAUUACGAGUAAGAGUCUAGACUUGGUUCUGGUUCUGGUUCUGUCUGCAUAUCGUAUGUUGAAGCAGUCAAAAGGAUUUCAGGGGAACCAAAUAUAAAUAAUUUAGAUUACAUCUUCUGGUAUUGCCUCUUACAGUAAAAGUAAUUUUGAUCUUUCACUUUUUGAUGAACUCCAAGCUCAAGUCAAUCCUUAAUUUUCAUCUACUUUUUAUUUUUUUAUGUCUAGGUGAUUUACAUGGUUUGUAACCAUUAAAUCAUCCAACUUUAUAUUUACAAUUGUGUUUCUGAUUGUUAAUAUCAAUUAAAAUACUAUUAUUCAGGUUAUUAGAUUUUAUGCUAUAUGUUAACACUUGCUUUGAUGCAUUGAAAAUGCUAAUUUUGUGACAAGAAAAUAAUCUUAUUUUAUGUUUAAUAAAACUCAUAACUAGAGAACCUAUUAGAAGAGAAUGAUACAUAAUUAUUCAUGCAAUUUGUAAUCUCGUAGCAACGCGCAGGCAUUACUAGCUAGUCUAAUCGAAACCAAAAACAGCUCAACCAAAUCAAUUUCUCUCUCUCUCACGCUCACAAUCACUGCAAAAAAAAAAAAAAAAAAAAAAAAAACUCAAGCCAAGAAAUCCAUUUCCACAAUUUCUCUUACAGUCACCGCUUCUCUCUCGCUCACCGCUUCAUCGUCAACAAAUCUAAUCGCAGCCCCACUACAAACCCAUCUGGAUGGAAAACCCAUUGAGAAAUCUUGGUCGUCGACCUACACCCAGACUGCAACGUCGUUUUGACUCACCCCAGCAUCAGCAAAUUUCAACAUAAAAAGUGAUUCUUUUCAACAUAUUUGUAUAAAUUCGUUCGUGCACUUGAAAUUUUAUGUUUGAUUAGUGUAUGUUUUCAUAAUUAGAUCAUAUCAAGCUCCAUUCAUGCCCACUUCUAUUCCUAAGAGCCCGUCUUCUGUCAAUGGCGACAACGGAGGCUAAGCUUGAAGCCAAACCAGAACCAAAAGAAAUUGAAGAGAGUUCUGAACCUCUUUUCAAAUACAAGGUAAUUAAAACUAUGAACACUGCCAAUUUCUAUAAAUCUAGCUUCAAUAAUUUAUGUUUUCUGUAUGUAUAUAUUAUCAAAAUAUUUAAAGCACUCGCAGCAAUGUGCGGGGCACUUUUGCUAGUGAUUAUUAUGAAACGAAUUAUUAUAGGAGAAGAUAAGUUAAGAUUACAUGAUUUUUGGAGUCUUUUUAUAUUAAUUUGUGAAUUAAAUGAUAAAUUAAGUAAAUGAAGUAUUAAAAAUUAAUAAAAGAAUGUUUGAUCAAAAAGCCUAAAAACUAUAACAAUUAGUACUACGGUCUACUAGUAUUUCUCUGCUGAACCCAUGAUAUCGAUUGUUCAAAAAAAAAAAAAAAAAUAGAGGCCAAAAGCUAUAGAUGUUUGAUAUAAAAAAUUCAAAAUUGAACCACCUAUAUCAAAACGCCUCUUAUGGAGAGGCAAAGCGUUACAACAACAGAGACUAAUACAAGGAAUCCCUCGGCCACAAGGCUUACAAACAGUUAAAAAGAUGAGAAUACAAACAAUAAGGAGCUCAAAUUCUUAAUUUUUCAUUUCCAACUUUUUUUUUUUUUGGCUACUCCAACCUGUAGUUCCUCCCGACUUGAUGGUCUCGACAUCUUGAGCAUACAGCAGGCUGAUCCCACACUUUUUCACCUCUAAUCCGAAAGGGCCGUUGUGCAAGGCGUUGAACUCAAAACAGGCCUCAGUGACAAGUUUGUAAAAAGAAGUGGAGCGAUUUAAAUUUGCUCCCUCUCCAAGUGCAAGCGCACUAUACCACACAAAUAUGUGAUCGAAUUUCGAAUAAGUAACCCUUCCCCCUUCUUUAUUAAAAGGAUAAUGGGAAGGAUAAAUGGUUUUAUGGCUUUCACCACUAUUAGUUUUAAAAUUGCACGAGCAUCCAAACAUCAGAGCGUUAGAACAACUAUAGCUACGGACAACAACAGAUAAAGCAAAACCCAAAAAAUCUGUACAAUACCAAUAUCGAGGAAGCUUGAUAGUUAUCGAAGAUCCUUCAUUUUGAUGGCAGAACCAAUUUGGAAUUUUAUUUCCUGCAAAUACAGUGCUAACUAAAGUCCGAGCAGAGACGGUGCUACCUGAAGUCCGACAAGAGGUAGGGAUAAAUGAAGUCAUUUCCUGUAAUAUCGAUGCAUGGAAAUCAAAUAAAUUAUUCAACACGUGAAAAAAUGGCAUAAAGGAGAUAUGAAAGUGUGUGCUAGUGCGUGCGUGGGUGAGAGAGAGAGAGAGAGAGAGAGAGAGACCAUGACAAUUUCUUCUUCUUUAUGUUGCUGAGUUUUCAAUGGCCCAGUUGCCACUCGCAUAAUUCUUAACUGUGUGUUAGCCAUUAUAUUAGUCCUUGCAUUUUCAUCCAAGUUCCGGCAAUCAGCAAAGUUAAAACGCCCUCGAAACAAUUCAUAUUUAUCCCAAGCUUGUGUGAGUGAAUUUCUUGAACUUGAAACUGUCUUCAGUGAAGUGCAGCCACUUGCUUCAAGACAACAUUGCACUGGGAGCUCUGGUAAGAAUUUUAGACUUGUGCACCAUCCCAGAUUCAGACACCUAAGCUUGUCAAGAUCUUUAAAAUAAGAAGGAAUUCGAACCAAUCUUAUACAGCCAAAAAGCACUAUACGCUCAAUUUUUUUACUGCGAGAGAGAUCUGGAACUUCAGUCAGAUGCUUGCAAAAACUUAGUUCAAUCACUUUUAAGUUCCCAAGAUUCUGUAACAAAUUAAAGAGAAAUGGAAAGAAGAACAUUAUUGACUUCGGCGAAAUAGAUUUCCAGAGGCACCAUAGUUUAAUACAAAGAACAAAACUAAGCACAUAUACUUGUAUUAAAAAAAAAAAAAAUUGAAAAACAGAAGAGGAAGCAUAUAUAUACCUGGUUUUUACUCCAAAGUUUUUCCCCAGCAAAGCUGUAGGGCAAUCGAAGCACAACAAGAUUUUGUGGAGAAAAAUUUGAAGGAAGAGAUUUCAACGGGUAUUCCUGCCAGUAAAGGUACCUGAGAGAAUUGGGAAGAGACUGAAGACCUUGAGAAAGGUCCAGAUUGUUGUUGUACGGCUUUUCACUGAUAGAAAAACCGAAGUAUUUCAGAAAUUUUGGAUGAACCUCAAAGUCAUAGUUGUACUUGACUCUUAGAUGAGGAUCAUGAAUCAUCAGCAAUCUUAAAUUAGACAUCUUCUUGAAGGGUGAUCCACAUAAUUCCAACCGUGUAAUGUUAGACGUGUCAAAGGAUAUGCAUUGAACUGUUGAAGUUCCCUGGAAAUCAAGAGAAAAUACUUUUGUUAGACGUGUCAAAAUGAGUUUCCGCUGUCCCCUGUCGUAGAAAGUUCAUGAUUUUUUAUUCUUACCGUAUCAUUCUCCAGUACUUGAUAGACAUCAUCAGCAGCCCACAACCUAUUACGUUUUCCUGGCUCGUCCCUGCAUUGUUCACGAACAAUUGUCCGGCCCAUGUCUUGCAGCAAAUCAUGCAUCUCUAAGCAAUUCUUCUUUGAAAUUGAUAUGAGAGACUUGUCAAUAAGAAUUUGGAUUCCCGUCACGGAGAAACCCCGAAUAUCUAAUAUUCCUCUUGCAAUAUAAACAUCUGCCCCUUUCAGAAAGCAUGCAAUGUCAAGAAAGCAUUCCUUCUCAUUUUCUUCUAAUCCAUCAUAACUAAGUCUCAACACAUUCUGAAUUUUUUCGCUAGGAAAAUUUUUCAAUCUGUUCAAUUCUUCAUCCCAGUCUUCUUCUGUAUCGCAGCGAUGGAAUAAGGCACCCAAAGUUUUAAGAGCCAAUGGAAUGCCUUGACUAUAAUCUAUCACCUUUCUUGAAAACUCUGUUUUAAUUGUCGUAGGAGACUUAUUUUUCAGAGCAUGCAAAUGAAAGAGCUGAAGAGCGCCAUCAUGUUUCAAUCCCUUGACCUCGUAAAUUUUGUCAUCAUUAACCUUUUCAUUGAGUAAGCUCCGAUCUCGAGUAGUGAUAAUGAUUGUACUUCCGACACCAAACUGAAGAUCACCUCCAACUAGAAGUUCUAAUUGCCUUGAAUCACUCACAUCGUCAAGAACAAUGAGUACCUUUGUACAAAGGAGCCUCCCUUUAGCAAGCUCUGAUCCCAUAGAUGGAGCGCUAAUAUUUAUAUUUCAUCAUCUAAAAUCUCACGGAGAAGUUUAUUUCGUAAGUUAUAUAUUCCGUCUUUUUCUUCAGAAUUUUCUCUAACAUUUUUAAGAAAGCAACAAGCUUCAAACUUGGAAGAGAGUCGGUGAUAUACAACAUCAGCAAGGGUGGUCUUGCCAAUACCAGCCAUGCCCCAAAUACCUACAACGCAAACAUCCGAUGAAUCAAGGCAUAGUAACGAUUCAAUUUGCUCAACUUUGGUUUCAAUCUCAACUAGGCCCUUUAAAUCAUCUGAGUUUUUGCAAUUCAAUUUGUUCAAUAUAUCACGGACAACUUCUUCAACCAAAUCGGCCUCUGUCCUGGAAAAUAUAAGUAACCAUACAACAACAACAACAACAACAAAGCCUUUUCCCACUAAGUGGGGUCGGCUAUAUGAAUCCUAGAACGCCAUUGCGCUCGGUUUUGUGUCAUGUCCUCCGUUAGAACCAAGUACUCUAAAUCUUUUCUUAGAGUCUCUUCCAAAGUUUUCCUAGGUCUUCCUCUACCCCUUUGGCCCUGAACCUCUGUCCCGUAGUCACAUCUUCGAACCGGAGCAUCAGUAGGCCUUCUUUGCACAUGUCCAAAUCACCGGAACCGAUUUUCUCUCAUCUUUCCUUCAAUUUCGGCCACUCCUACUUUACCUCGAAUAUCCUCAUUUCCAAUCUUAUCAUUUCUUGUGUGCCCACACAUCCCACGAAGCAUCCUCGUCUCCGCCACACCCAUUUUGUGUACGUGUUGAUGCUUCACCGCCCAACAUUCUGUGCCAUACAACAUCGCUGGCCUUAUUGCCGUCCUAUAAAAAUUUUCCCUUGAGCUUCAGUGGCCUACGACGGUUACACAACCCGCCGGAUGCACUCUUACACUUCAUCUAUCCAACUUCUAUUCUAUGGUUGAGAUCUCUCUAAUUCUCCGUUCUCUUGCACGAUAUAUCCUAGGUAGCGAAAUCGGUCGCUUUUUGUGAUCUUCGCUAGAUUGCUCCGAUCAUUAGUGUGGAUAAGUAUAUAAAAUGGAUAUAGAUAGGAAAGCAAACACAAGAUGUACGUGGUUCACCCAGAUUGGCUACGUCCACGGAAUAGAGGAGUUCUCAUUAAUUGUGAAGGGUUUACACAAGUACAUAGGUUCAAGCUUUCCUUUAGUGAGUACAGGUGAAUGAUUUAGUACAAAUGACAUUAGGAAAUAUUGUGGGAGAAUGAUCUCGUAAUCACGAAACUUCUAAGUAUCGGAAUGUGGUAUCGUCUUGACUUGCCUUAUCUGUCUCACAGGUAGAUGUGGCAUCUUCUCUGGAAGUACUCUUCCUCCAUCCAGGGGUGGUAUCUUUAACUGGUGGAGAUGCACAAGGUAAUGUAUCAAUUUCACUUGAAGCUUACUUGUAGUUUCAGGCUUGGUCAAGCGCGAUACAAACCAUGUAGUAGGAGUCCCUCAAGUUGCCGAGCUAGGGGAUUUGCUGAAAGAGGUGACAGACAAGGUAAGCAAUCAGAGCUCCGGCUGAUUGUUCACAUUCUCCCUAUCUUGCAGGCAGCAUGAAGGAUAAAGAGAAGAAAAAUGAGAAGAGAUGAUAUGGGAUACUUUUUGCUUUUGAAGAAGUAACUUUCCACAGGCUUAUUCUUGAACUGAGCUGGAGGGUUUUCUGGUUUCCUCCAGAGUAUAAGGCCGACUGAAGAAUUUGAGGGUCAAAACAAGUCCAUCAAAUCUAGAGUACGUUCGACCCUAUUGAUAUGGGAUACUUUUGCUUUGACAGAGUAAUGGAUGUAUCGGCACGUGUGCUGUUACGCUUGUCUCCACAUGCUUCCUUGUAUCCUUCUCACUUGCCCUAUCUGUUCCUCAGGCAGAUGCGGUAUCUUCCCUGGAAGCAUAAGAUGUUGAAGAUGAGUACUCGAGAGCAAUGCCAGGUAAGUAAGUUCCAGGCAGUCAGUUCCUGGCUGGAAGCUUGAUUCCAAGUGCUGACUGAUUGCUCUCUUUCUCUCCUUGUCUUGCAGGUAAGAACAAGGCCAAAGGAAAAGACAGGGAAAAAGCAUGAUAUGGGAUACUCUUGCUUUUAACCCUGAUGAUAUGAGAUAUUCUUGCUCUAGUAUAACUUGUUUGCAGAGGUAUUAUCGGGGGAAAGAAAGCUGAAUAUUUCGAAAGGCUUCGUUGAGAGUGCCCUCUCAUAUAUGAGGAAGGGUUGAGCAUUUUUGCAGGUCUGUCUGUCCGUUGGGGAUGGAGGUUGACAUAUAUAGGAGUCUCCUUAACAACAAGUAGUAAUGCUAUUCCUUUACCCUGUCAGAGCACUUUGAAAAAGUGGUCUGUGGUAUGUGGAAAGCUGAUGUUGCGUGUGAAGAUUACAGACAGCUUUAUCCAAGGAGAUCCGGCUCUUGUAGUUGGGAAAGUGUUGCCUCUUCGGUUUUCGAACAAGCAAUCCUAUCAGGGAUCUGGCUCUCGAGAUUCGGAGAACGAUGUCUCUUCGAUUUUUGAGAAAGCAAUCCUGCUGGGGGUCUGGCUCUCGAGAUUCGGAGAGCGGUGUCUCUUCGAUUUUUGAGAAGGUAAUCAUGUUGGGAGUCUGGCUCUCGAGAUUCGGAGGGCGGUGCCUCUUCGAUUUUGGAGCAAGCAAUCUUGUUGGGAGUGUUUUCUCGAAUGUGAGUAAAGGUUGGGCAUGUUUGCUAGUCUACCUUGCCACGAAGCACAGAGGUUGACACACAGGGACUUUCCAAUUAUCCAGCAAUGGUACUGUUCCUUUACCCUCUCUUCGAUUUUUGAGAAAGUAGUCAUGUUGGGAGUCUGGCUCUCGAGAUUCGGAGGACGGUGCCUCUUCGAUUUUGGAGCAAGCAAUCUUGUUGGGAGUGUUUUCUCGAAUGUGAGUAAAGGUUGGGCAUGUUUGCUAGUCUACCUUGCCACGAAACACAGAGGUUGACACACAGGGACUUUCCAAUUAUCCAGCAGUGAUACUGUUCCUUUACCCUUGUGGGUAAUAAUAUGGGGUAGCUAGACCUUCAAAAUUUAUGUGUCUAAACUUUGUUAGUGCUGUUUCUUUGCUAUUCUUUGACCCGUCUUGGUCAGAGCGAUGUAGUGGAAGCUGCAAGCUUCACGUGCUCAACUUUGGCAGAGAACUUUGGCAAAGUUAUCUGUGAUACACAUGAGCUACUAUUGCGUGUGGGAAGUGGGUGAUUGAACAGUAAGACUCAUGUGCUUUCUACUUCACCAGAAGUCUUCGACAGAAUGCCCAUAAUUUCCGCAAAGCUGAGUGUGCGUGUGACAGGUGCUGCCAAGGCUGGAAAAGUAGGUGCCUCUUCGAUUUCUGAGAUCGGCCCUCGUGGUCUCUGAGCAGCCCAACUUUUGAGAAAGCAAGCGCCUCUUCGAUUUCUGAGAUCGGCCUUCGUGGUCUUUGAGCAGCCCAACUUUUGAGAAAGCAGACGCCUCUUCGAUUUCUGAGAUCGACCCUCGUGGUCUCUGAGCAGCCCAGCUUUUGAGAAAGCAAACGCCUCUUCGAUUUCUGAGCAGGCGCCUCUUCGAUUUCUGAAGCUCCGUCGAGUGCAGAUUUUUAUAGGGGUUGGCAUUAAGUUCCAAAGCACACUUGAAUCUCCCCCAGUAGAAGCUCCAUUCUUACACUUCUAAGAUCUUGAUUUGUUCGACCUCUUCUCUCUUCAACACCUUUGAAAAUGUCUGGCCCCUCCGACCGUCGUUUUGACUUGAACCUUGUUGAAGAGGCAGCCCCGCCUUCUCCAGACAACAUAUGGCGCCCAUCCUUCGUCUCCCCUACUGGUCCUCUUACCGUUGGGGAUUCCGUUAUGAAGAAUGAUAUGACCGCUGCGGUGGUGGCCAGGAACCUUCUCACUCCCAAAGAUAACAGACUACUUUCCAAACGAUCUGAUGAGUUAGCUGUUAAGGAUUCUCUGGCUCUCAGUGUUCAGUGUGCAGGUUCUGUGUCUAAUAUGGCCCAACGCCUAUUUGCUCGAACCCGCCAAGUUGAAUCAUUGGCGGCUGAAGUGAUGAGUCUCAAACAGGAGAUUAGAGGGCUCAAGCAUGAGAAUAAACAGUUGCACCGUCUCGCACAUGACUAUGCUACAAACAUGAAGAGGAAGGAAGCUGGACCAGAUGAAGGAAUCUGAUGGUCAGGUUUUACUUGAUCAUCAGAGAUUUUGUGGGUUUGUUCCAAAGGCAUUUAUUGCCUUCGUCUUCUGGGGCUGUACCGCGUAAUGAAGCUCCAAAUGAUCAACCUCUGAUGCCUCCUCCUUCUAGGGUUCUGUCCAGUACUGAGGCUCCGAAUGAUCCCCCUCCGGUGCCUUCUCUUUCUGGGGCUCUACCGACUGCUGCGACUUCUCCUAAGCAACCUUUGUGAAGGCUCUCUCUUGUUUGUUUAUUUUGACUCAUGUAUAUGUACAUAUUUGUAGCUUAUCGGGGAUAUCAAUAAAUAAGCUUUCCUUCAUUUCAACGUAUUGUGUUAAAUACACCAAAGCCUUCUUCUCUAAGUUCUUUGAAUUUUCUUUUGUUGGAGCUUUGUGAGUGGAGCAUGUAGGUUGAGGUAGUGUUCCCUUAAUUUCCUGAGUGAGGAAAACUUCUCGGUUGGAGACUUGGAAAAUCCAAGUCACUGAGUGGGAUCGGCUACAUGAAUCUUAGAACGCCAUUGUGCUCGGUCCUGUGUCAUGUCCUUCGUUAAAUCCAAGUACUCUAAGUCUUUUCUUAGAGUCUCUUCCAAAGUUUUCUUAGGUCUUCCUCUACCCCUUCGGCCCUGAACCUCUGUCCCAUAGUCGCAUCUUCUAAUCGGAGCGUCAGUAGGCCUUCUUUGCACAUGUCCAAACCACCGUAACCGAUUUUCUCUCAUCUUUCCUUCAAUUUCGGCUACUCCUACUUUACCCCGGAUAUCCUCAUUCCUAAUCUUAUCCUUUCUCGUGUGCCCACACAUCCAACGAAGCAUCCUCAUCUCCGCUACACCCAUUUUGUGUACGUGUUGAUGCUUCACCGCCCAACAUUCUGUGCCAUACAGCAUCGCCGGCCUUAUUGCCGUCCUAUAAAAUUUUCCCUUGAGCUUCAGUGGCAUACGGCGGUCACACAACACGCCGGAUGCACUCUUCCACUUCAUCCAUCCAGCUUGUAUUCUAUGGUUGAGAUCUCCAUCUAAUUCUCCGUUCUUUUGCAAGAUAGAUCCUAGGUAACGAAAACGAUCGCUCUUUGGUAUUUCUUGAUCACCGAUCCUCACCCCUAACUCGUUUUGGCCUCCAUUUGCACUGAACUUGCACUCCAUAUAUUCUGUCUUUGAUCGGCUUAGGCGAAGACCUUUUAGAUUCCAACACUUCUUUCCAAAGGUUAAGCUUUGCAUUUACCCCUUCCUGAGUUUCAUCUAUCAACACUAUAUAUCGUCUGCGAAAAGCAUACACCAAGGAAUAUCAUCUUGAAUAUGUCCUGUUAACUCAUCCAUUACCAACGCAAAAAGGUAAGGACUUAAGGAUGAGCCUUGAUGUAAUCCUACAGUUAUGGGAAAGCUUUCAGUUUGUCCUUCAUGAGUUCUUACGGCAGUCUUUGCUCCUUCAUACAUAUCCUUUAUAGCUUGGAUAUAUGCUACUCGUACUCCUUUCUUCUCUAAAAUCCUCCAAAGAAUGUCUCUUGGGACCCUAUCGUACGCUUUCUCCAAAUCUAUAAAGACCAUGUGUAAAUCCUUUUUCCCAUCUCUAUAUCUUUCCAUCAAUCUUCGUAAGAGAUAGAUUGCCUCCAUGGUUGAGCGCCCUGGCAUGAACCCGAAUUGGUUGUCCGAAACCCGUGUCUCUUGCCUCAAUCUAUGCUCAAUGACUCUCUCCCAAAGCUUCAUUGUAUGACUCAUUAGCUUAAUACCCCUAUAGUUCAUGCAAUUUUGUACGUCGCCCUUAUUCUUGUAGAUAGGCACUAAAGUGCUUGUUCGCCACUCAUUUGGCAUCUUCUUCGUUUUCAAAAUCCUAUUGAAAAGGUCAGUGAGCCAUGUUAUACCUGUCUCUCCCAAAACUUUCCACACUUCGAUUGGUAUCUCUCGUCUGGGCCUAUUGCUUUUCUUUGCUUCAUCUUCUUCAAAGCUACAACCACUUCUUCCUUCCGGAUUCGACGAUAAAAAGAGUAGUUUCUACACUCUUCUGAGUUACUCAACUCCCCUAAAGAAGCACUCCUUUCAUGUCCUUCAUUGAAAAGAUUAUGAAAAUAACCUCUCCAUCUGUCUUUAACCGCAUUCUCUGUAGCAAGAACUUUUCCAUCCUCAUCCUUGAUGCACCUCACUUGGUUUAGGUCCCUUGUCUUCUUUUUCCCUUGCUCUAGCUAGUUUAUAGAUAUCCAACUCUCCUUCUUUGGUAUCUAGUCGUUUAUACAUAUCGUCGUAAGCCGCUAACUUAGCUUCUCUCACAGCUUUCUUCGCCUCUUGCUUCGCUUUUUCUAUACCUUUCACCAUUUUCAUCAGUCCUAUCCUUGUAUAAGGCUUUACAACAUUCCUUCUUAGCCUUCACCUUUGUUUGUACCUCCUCAUUCCACCACCAAGAUUCCUUUUGGUGUGGGGCAAAGCCCUUGGACUCUCCUAAUACCUCUUUUGCUACUUUUCGGAUACAACUAGCCAUGGAAUCCCACAUUUGGCUAGCUUCCCCCUCUCUAUCCCACACACACUGGGUGAUUACUUUCCCUUUGAAAAUGGCUUGUUUUUCUUCUUUUAGAUUCCACCAUCUAGUCCUUGGGCACUUCCAAGUCUUGUUCUUUUGUCUCACUCUUUUGAUAUGUACAUCCAUCACCAACAAGCGAUGUUGAUUAGCCACGCUCUCUCCUGGUAUAACUUUGCAAUCCUUACAAGUUAUACGAUCCCCUUUCCUCAUGAUGCCAACACCGUUUCUCGUUCUAUGUGUGCCCGAAUACCAAAGUUUAAACCCUGAGUUUUCUAGAUCCUUUGCCUUACUACCAACCCACUUAGUUUCUUGUAGGCACAUAAUAUUUAUCCUUCUCCUCACCAUAACUUCCACUACUUCCAUAGAUUUUCCCGUUAAGGUUCCUAUAUUCCACGUUCCUAAACGCAUUUUGCUCUCUUGAACUACCCUUCUGUCCUAGCUUCUUCACCCUCCCCCGUCUAAUAGGAUCAAAGUACUUCUUUUGUGUGUCCCGGGUAAAGUUGAUAGGAGCAUAUGCUCCCAAACAACUUUGAGUGGAGUCGUUCGAAAAGAAGUUUCUAUGGCCCCCUUGCUCAUUUAACACUGCAUCCGGGUGCCGAUGGAGAUACAGCGACCCUUGCUCACUUAUCACUGUGCUCGGGCCGCACAGCGCGCCACUUACGGGUGACGCCCUAGCUUUAGCGCUAUUUUGUUCUGGAUUCAUUUUCAUAAGGAUUCGACGUGAUCAUGGAGUGCCGGCUGUCGACUACCUGACGCCCUCCCCCUCCUCCUUUAUCCGGGCUUGGGACCGGCCAUGUAAGACAUAGGCGGAGUUAAAAUAUAAGUAACCAUGAAGGAAAAAAAUAGUUACUAAGUCCUGCAUUAAUGAAUCUUGUUUGAAACAAAGGCCACAAGUAAAAAAUGCUGCAAGAGUUGCAAAGUUAGUUACCCGGCUUUGUUUGAAUCAUAACCAGAUAGGUUGGCAGCUUUCUCCAAAGCAUCCCUCCACUGAAGCACCUUGUCCAUACAGUCCUUGAAACGUUCUUCAAGCUUGGCAAAUGCAACUGCAUAACUCUCCUGCUGUUUUCGUACAUCCGAUGGACUGAUAUCGUAAAAAAUGGGUAUAACAAACUGUCCAUCCCUUUCCUUGCAUCCUAGUAUAUGCACGAGUUCAUCCAGACACCAUGUGGAAGAAGCAUAGUUUUUUGAGAAAAUGAUCACCGAAAGCUUUGAUUUCUCAAUAGCUUCUAGAAGGGCAGGUCCGAUUUCAUCCCCACUGUCAAGUUUGGAAUCUAUGUAGGUCUGAAGUUUCUUUCGAAGUAAGGCAGCAUGAAGGUGGCUGGUGAAAGUCUUGCGAGUGUCCUCACCUCUGAAACUAAGAAACACAUCAUACUUUCUUCGAGGUGAUGAGAUAGUAGCAGCAGAGGAAGAGGAAGAAGCCAUACUAAUAACCUGCAAACCCCACUAUUUAUACUUCAUCACCUGCGAAUCCAUCCAUAUAUAUAUAUAUAUAUAUUUCAAAACCUGCAAAUCCUUCCAGACCUGACCUAUUUCAUAACAUACCCACAUGUAUGUAUAUUCAUAAGGGGUCCGUUAACUAUGACAAAAUAUGAAAUUAUUUAAUAAUUAAGCCAAAAUCCCCUAUAUACAACUGACAUAUAUCUCAGUUAGUUUAGAACAUUUACCCUUGAACGCACCCGAGGUCACUGAAUUCGAAUCUUCUUCCCCAACAUAAUCACUUCUAUCAACAAAAAAAGAAAGAAAGAAAAAAUUUCUAUUUUGGUGGGCUUCAUAAACAUUCUGAGGGACCAAAAAGUCAGCACAAAUUAACAGUCGCUAUACAAUAUUAUAAGAAAUGUAAGAGAAGACUAUAAUUAUAUGGUAAUUAUUUAUCCAAGUGUAAUUAAGUCAGUGAGAGUACCUCUGAAUCAAGAAAGAAAUUGAUUGGGAAGUAUUAAGAUCUAGAGAGAUCGAAUAUGAAAGACUGAUCAACUUGAAGCUUUUCCAGAACCCUGACGAAAAUAAUCCAGCGCAAGAGAGAAAUAUAGAAAGAAACAAGUUGGAAGAGAGAUCAUGUUGUUCUAACUUGACUUGUGUGGGUUGUUGACUUACGCAGGUGUUGGACAAUUCUAAUCAUACAUACAAAUUCUGUUGGCAAAAGAUUUUUUUUUUUUUGGUAAAAUCCUUUCCGUGGAGAGGAACAAAAUUUUAUGGAAGUUUUAACGAAAAGCCCACGGUACUGUUCAUUUUAACGAAAAAUCACAUUUUUACACUAAAAAGUCAAACUUAAUACUAUUCACUUUACCCUUUAUUUUGUCCUUAUUAUUAAAACUCAAAGUUUUCAAGCUUUUUCAUUAGUUUUCCUAAAUUUUUUAUUCCAGCAUUAAUUUACAAACCAAAGGCCCAUAUACACAUAAACAAAACAAACAGAGGCCACCCAAGCUAACCUAAAAGAACCCAACUAAGAGCCCAAAGCUAGACACAGAACAAAAGAAAAUUCUAGAUUCCUUCUACCACCACCGCAAUGGUAUUUCCCAAUCAAUCCGAAUCGAUUUCCCCAGCAAACACCAAAAAUCAUACCAAGCAGCAUCGUAGAGAUUAAAUGGAGGAAAAUCUCAUCAUCCAGCCACGAUCCUCGCGCCAAUCUCAGCCAGAAAUUGAAAAAAGCCUGUGGAUUUACCACGAACAACACUGCCAACAAAGGCAGACAAAGAGAAGGAGGUGCUGUUGUAAACACCUGAGCCGGCGUGACCACCAGAACUCUACGCACCUUCUCGAAUGAUCGCAACAAAUUGCGUU
rnacentral:lncRNA from 1 species